rnacentral:rRNA from 1 species
CGAGCGAGAAAGGCCUUCGGGCUGAGUACAGCGGCGGACGGGUGAGUAACGCGUAGGAAUCUACCUGGUAGUGGGGGACAACAUGGGGAAACUCAUGCUAAUACCGCAUACGCCCUAUGGGGGAAAGCGGGGGACCUUCGGGCCUCGCGCUAUCAGAUGAGCCUGCGUAGGAUUAGCUUGUUGGUGAGGUAAAGGCUCACCAAGGCGACGAUCCUUAGCUGGUCUGAGAGGAUGAUCAGCCACACUGGAACUGAGACACGGUCCAGACUCCUACGGGAGGCAGCAGUGGGGAAUAUUGCGCAAUGGGCGAAAGCCUGACGCAGCCAUGCCGCGUGUGUGAAGAAGGCCUUCGGGUUGUAAAGCACUUUCAAUUGGGAAGAAAGGUUGCGUGUUAAUAGCACGUAGCUGUGACGUUACCUUUAGAAGAAGCACCGGCUAACUCCGUGCCAGCAGCCGCGGUAAUACGGAGGGUGCGAGCGUUAAUCGGAAUUACUGGGCGUAAAGCGCGCGUAGGCGGUUUGUUAAGUCGGAUGUGAAAGCCCCGGGCUCAACCUGGGAAUUGCAUUCGAUACUGGCCGACUAGAGUACGAGAGAGGGAGGUAGAAUUCCACGUGUAGCGGUGAAAUGCGUAGAUAUGUGGAGGAAUACCGGUGGCGAAGGCGGCCUCCUGGCUCGAUACUGACGCUGAGGUGCGAAAGCGUGGGUAGCAAACAGGAUUAGAUACCCUGGUAGUCCACGCCGUAAACGAUGUCUACUAGCCGUUGGGAGACUUGAUUUCUUAGUGGCGCAGCUAACGCACUAAGUAGACCGCCUGGGGGAGUACGGCCGCAAGGUUAAAACUC